rnacentral:rRNA from 1 species
GACGAACGCUGGCGGCGUGCCUAAUACAUGCAAGUCGAGCGAAGCGGCGGAUGGGUGAGUAACGCGUGGGUAACCUGCCCUUCAGUUUGGGAUACCAUUUGGAACCACAUGCUAAUCACGGAUACUAAAGGAUUGACCUGGGAUGCAUUGGCUAGUUGGUAAGGUAACGGCUGACCAUGGCGAUGAUGCAUAGCCGGGUUGAGAGACUGAUCGGCCACAUUGGGACUGAGACACGGCCCAGACUCCGACGGGAGGCAGCAGUAGGGAAUAUUCCACAAUGGACGAAAGCCUGAUGGAGCAACGCCGCGUGAGUGAAGAAGGUUUUCGGAUCGUAAAGCUCUUUUGUUGGGGAAGCGGUAAUCAACCAGAAAGCCACGGCUAACUACGUGCCAGCAGCCGCGGUAAUUC